UCACCAAUUACAAUAGAUCAUACAAAAGCACGCGCUUUGGGUCAGUGCGACACGAAGCGGAAGCGAGUGUAAAGGAAAUAUUGAGCACAUAAAUUCUGUUUAUCUUCGCUGUUUCCUGUGUUGACAGGUCAAUUGGAGGGACAUGCUGAAUGCCAGAAGAAAUUACAGACAACAAUACUGCUCAGUGCAGUAACCAGACCUAAAAAAAACCACUGGUCAAGGCAAACUUUUGGGACAGAGUGCUGCAUAUAUGGGCUUAUGCACAAACUGAGAUUUUGCAAGUCAACUGUCAAAGUCAUAAAGAGAGAUCUAUAGUGGACAAUGUUGAACAGAGUUGAAGUCCUGGAAUCUCGGUCAACUGCAGAUAGCAGCAUGGCGUCAAGCAGACGUCUUGUUUCCCAGUCCAAUUUUAGUCAGGUAUUCUUGGUGGUAUGAAACUGCAGUCAACACAGGUUUUUAGAGGUCUGCAAGUACAGAGUUUUAAAUUGUGAAAUAAAACCUCUAACCAGUUAGCAGUGUGUGUGUGUGUUAUGCUGUGCUGAGAUAUUGCUGUGACAUAUGGUGCAAUAAGGUCCAUAACCUGGUAUCCAUCAAAGAUUGGCUAUGGUGUUUACAGAACUGAAAGCCAAGCUGUGAUUUUUGAAAAUUUAUUAUAAAGUUCUAAAUGGAAAUACAAUUUGAAAAGCACAGACAACUUCUUGUAUUUUUAAGCUACCACUUAACCAUAGUGUUAAUUGGUUGAUUACAGACAUAAAUGUAUGCCGUGAAGUUCAGUUUAAAAUGACUAAAUAUAAACGCUGUAACAGGAGGAUUGGUCAAUAGCUGAAAGGUCAAGCUCUAAGGCCAUUAUUCACAAGCCAAAUGCUUUUGUGUCUCUGAAUCUCGUAUAGAGAGAUGUCAAAAGGUCAUAUUUAUGCCCAACUUUGAAGAAUAUGUGGUGAAUUGUUUUGCUCAUUGUUGGUCUGUCGGCGUCGUUUUAAUAGGAAUGGUCUCUGUCCUGACGUUCGUCCGUAACAUUUCUAUCGCUAAGUAUAUAUCCUAAACCCCUCCAAGGAUUUUCAUGAAACUUGGGUCAAAUGAUCACCUCAUUGAAACAAUGUGCAGAACUUAUGAGUCAACCGUGUCUGCUCUGUAUCUCCUUAACCCCUUGAAGGACUUUCAUGAAACUUGGGUCAAAUGGUCAUCUCAUCAAGACAAUAUGCAGACCUCGCGAGUCAGCCGUGUUGGCUCAGUGUCAAAGGUUUGAGCUUUGUAUCUCUCAAACCCUUGAAUU
rnacentral:misc_RNA from 1 species